UACGGGGGGGGGCAAGCGUUGUUCGGAAUUACUGGGCGUAAAGGGCUCGUAGGCGGCCAACUAAGUCGGACGUGAAAUCCCCAGGCUCAACCUGGGAACUGCGUCCGAUACUGGAUGGCUUGAAUCCGGGAGAGGGAUGCAGAAUUCCAGGUGUAGCGGUGAAAUGCGUAGAUAUCUGGAGGAAUACCGGUGGCGAAGGCGGCAUCCUGGACCGGCAUUGACGCUGAGGAGCGAAAGCAUGGGGAGCGAACAGG
rnacentral:rRNA from 1 species